AAGGCAUGUGUGGUAAAUGAAUCGAAAGUGCCCAUUUGAAGAGACGCACAUCUUUUUGGUUUCAAAUGACCCAUGCAGAGACACACACUCCUCCCUUUUUGUUUUUGAAACACACACACUCACACUCGCAUGCAUAUCCGCACACGUCUUUUCAGAUUUUUUUUCUUCUCCGACACAUGCAUGGUUAUAGAGCGAAAAGAGAGAACACCUUUGUUAAAGCUACAGACCAGGGCGAGAGAGAAAACGAGAGAUUCCCGUUCGUUAAAGGAUAGAGGGCCUGGUUAGCCCUGACCGGCAUCCGUCUCCAAUUCAUCCUCGUCAAGAAGGGCUCUCUUGCUCGCAGGAUAUCCCACACACGACCCAUCAAGGCUCCGUAAGUUUUCACUCCAGGGAUAGAUCAAACGUCUGGCAUGUAGAUCCUCGGUAUGUCUAAAGGAUAGACGUGGUCAACGCCGUAAUUAUUCACGAUUUUGGAAGAGACUGUCCAGCUUAUUCAUCAGGGUUAUGAAAAUGGGAUAAUCAAUCCAUUUAAAGCUAAACUCUGGCAUAAAAAAAUGUACAUCCUUGCAGGCUUUGGAAAAUACAUAUGAACUGACAGACUUCGUCGCAUUUGUACUAUCAAAUUGUUCACAUGCUAAAAUUGUCACUUUAGAGUCAGGGAUUCUUAGGGC